UUUAUCUUAAAAGUCAGACUAAAUCGAAAAGGAGAUUUUAGAAGUCCAGGGAAGUAGGGCGACCCAGAGAUGGAGGAAGCACUAUGGGGAAGAACGUGCCACCGCAGCAAUAAACAGAGAUUGGACAAGUGUUGGAAUCUGCUGCACGUCAUGCGCUUGAAAGCAGGAAAAGAUCCUUGCAUACUUCUUCUUCCUCCUCCAAAGGCAUACUGUUUCUACUUUUAGGGUUUCAGACAUAUUCAAAUGAGUUGUAACUUAAAGUGUUGUGGGUAAUGGUUCUAUAAUUCACGGGUAAGCAUAGGAUUCUUGCAUAACUCAAGCGCCUCGAUCAUGACAUCAAAUUCCUUCAGGAGGAACAAGGUGUAGAACAUCUCUUCAAACACUUGCAGGAUUUUUCAGACAAUACGUCACAGCAUUUUGAUAUUGUGUGCAUUCUUUUUUUAUUUCCUACCAUACCUAUUAUUCAUUUGUUUGUUUCAAGUCAUUCAUGUUUGAUAAAGUUAUGUUUUCAAUGAAAAUUGUGAAUCAAAUAGGUAUCUAUUUAGAAUCACCCCUAUAGUGUUUUGACAAAUCCCAAUUCAAUUUCUAAUUGGUUUGGCUGAGCUAAUUACUCCUUCACAUACUUGAAUUUCAUAUGCUUUUUAUUGCUCUGUAAUACAUUCCAUUAUCACAUAUAAAAAGUUCUCAUCGUUUCAUCAAGUUUAUUUAUUUAUUUAAAUUCUAUUAUUUUGGUGACUUUGUUUUAAUUGAUAUUGUGCAUGCUCUGUUUUCAGGUCCUUUAUUUAUUUAAUUAAUUUUGUUCAUUGCAAGAGAUUCGUUAACUCUUUCAAACCUCUAUAUUUAGGAAGAUAGGUAGGAACAUGGUAACUAACUUCAUCCAUUCUAAUAAAUUUCUUUCAUCAAAUCUAUAAUUGUCCUUUAUUUAUAUAUUUGGUCAUUUAUUUGUGUUUUGGCUUCUAAAAGUUCAAGUUGGAGGAUAACCUUUGUACAAAGUUGACAGUAAAUUGGGUGAAAGUGAGCAUCUAUUGCAGCCUCUGGAUUUUUAAAGUUAUUUGAAACUUUUGGUUUGAGAUUAAUUUUG